CUAUAGCAGGAGGAGAUCGAUGGCAGAGUUGUGCACUUCAUUUUUGUCAUCUUCUCUUUUCUCUUUUAGCGGGCUUGGCCCUUUCUUUAGUGCCCAUCUAUUACUAUAAAACUUUGAUCCGAUGCUGAUGUGGCCGAGGUUGGAUGCUGUUCAAGGAUUAUCAAGAUGCCGUGGGAGGAACCUACAAGAGAAGUCUAUACUUACUGAGAGUUCUCCGAUGUGGGAUCCUUUGAUAUUUAAGUUUAUUGGAGCUUGAGAAUAAUUAAAGAAAGAGAUUGCGAAAGGGAGAGGGAAUGAGAGCAUGCCAGACAUUCUAUGGAGUUGAGCCCCUCUACCCCCAUUGAAGGGUUCCCUUGUUAUCUCUUUUUAUAUGGAGGCGAUGAGAUAAGUUAUCAUGUCAGAAUAUGAUAGGCCAUUUGGUCCCUAACGU
rnacentral:lncRNA from 1 species